GAUUGAGGUUGUCGUUUCUCAUUGGCUGACUGCAUGCGUGACGUCUCACGCACGCAGUUACGUACGCACGCACGCCCUGCUUCAAUCGACUAGCACAACAGCGGAAUUGAAGAUGUUGGUCCUGGUGCUCGGCGACCUGCACAUUCCGCACCGGUGCAACACCCUGCCAGCCAAGUUCAAGAAGCUUCUGGUGCCUGG